rfam:Camelus ferus unplaced genomic scaffold scaffold1052, whole genome shotgun sequence.
GAGGGUAUAGCUCAGUGGUAGAGUAGGUGCCUCGCAUGCACAAAGUCCUGGGUUCAAUCCCCAGUACCUCCA